GCUGGUGCUGUCGGGCUAGCCCAGAGAGCUCUGGACGAAGCCACGAAGUAUGCCCUGGAUAGGAAGACAUUUGGAAAGCUGCUGGUGGAGCACCAAGGAGUUUCAU